GUGUCACAACACCUCCCUGCUCCUCCCUCCUCCCCCAAAUUCUGUGUGAGAACAUCACCCCCCCCUGAUUCCCAGACAUGAACACAUCCCAUCCAGGAGCUCACAGCCAAUCAAGCCUUUCACACCUCCUGUGCAAUGACGUGAUGAGUCGUGAAUAGCUGAUAAUGGCUGAGAUCUCACCGUCAUCAACGAGGGUGUAAUGAGGCCUCAUGCUGUCCGUUUGAAGUGGUGAUCAGACAAAUCAGUUCCUGUGUGCUAAAUGUCCUCUUCACCUGGCAGAAGCCAAUUGGUUCCUGUUGUCUGUGUGAAGACCUGUUUGAGCACCUGAUGUAAGCAUGUCGCUGGCACCGGCAGGGACGGACGUUAAUUUGAGCGAAACUGAGACGGACUGAAAGUGGCACGGUGCCAGAAGGACAAGCGAGCUGCUGUGAGCAAAGGAGCGAUGGGAAGAAGACGGGCCCUGCUUGUGGGAGAGGAACAAAGGGAUGACUAACUGUGGGUGAGAGAGGAGGAGAGAGGAGGAACACCUCAUCCAUGGGAACGUAAAACCUGUCCUGUGACUCCGAGUCCAUUGCUCAAUCGGUGCGUGUGCGCGCGCGUGCGUGUGCGCGCGCGUGAGUGCAGUGGAUCGAGACUAUAGCGAGAAAAGAAAGUGCUAACUUGACAUUUCAGCCUGUCAUGUCUGUUUGUGUUUGAGUGUGUGUGUCUUGUUUGGUCAAGUUCCUGCUUGUGUAUACCUGUGGGUUGAGAACCUUGGAGGGAAGAUAACCUUUGGCCCGACCAUCGC